UAUAUGAGUUGCAAAAUAUUUUUAUGAAUUUUCUGAAAAAAAUGGAGAAAAAAUGAAUAAGAAUCAAAGUAAAUGAAAAUAAAAAUAAAAAUAAAAAUAAAAUAGAAACUAAACAAAAGAAAUGGCGCACCAUCUGCUAGAAUUUUAAAAUUGCGCGUCUCAAGCUGGAAUUGGUCAGAUUCAAAUGUUUGGAACCAAAACGCACGAAC
rnacentral:lncRNA from 1 species